CAGGAGGCAUUGGAGAUUGUGACAACUCUAAAUAACAGUAUUCCGAUGGUGAGGAGAGUGGUUACAAGUGAUGUACUGAACAUAAAAGAUGACUCACCGUUCACACUUAUAACGGAAAAUCUUAGCUGGCCAAUCCUAGAAUUCACAGAGUGAUUUUAUCAACGCUUGUGAAAAUAGUCGCGUCCUCGCUGUGUUAUCAACGUAAACGGAGGUUGGACUUCAUACGGCUCAUGGUCUUCUUGCUCAAAGACUUGCGGAUCGGGAACACAAACAAGAAGCAGAACUUGUACAAAAUACAAAUCCUUCUCCUGCACACGGAGGUGCUAGUUGUUCGGGAACAUCUUCGGAGUCUCAGAGUUGCAACACCCAAAGCU